AUACUAAAGAAUCGAUGGCGUUCAGUACAUUACCAGAAGAAACAGCUCAUCAGACACAAAGCUGUUUUUGUCUGAGUGAUUUUGCAUCCCCCUGUCAGUCAUCACAUCUUCUCUCUGGAACGUCAAUUCAAGUCUUUGCCCACUGCUCAAAUGGGGCUUUUGUGGUUCCAUGUAAAUCAUGAGUUUUGUUUUACUCCAGGCUGUUGGAGGUCUGGGCUCUGCUAAGUGGAGCUGUGUGGAUCUCCCUUGGAGCGCUGACGGGAGUUCGUGUGUGGACCGCUGUCCUGUGACCUGACGGUGACCAGUGAGGGCAGUUUCUGGUUGAGACGUCGGGUUGUCUUUAGGUAAGAUGACGUCAUCAGGAAAGAGCCGACGUGCCUUCUUCCUUCCAUAAUCGGACGCUUCUGUGGCUUCUCGCCCACCUGCUCUGGCGAGGACUUGCAGGGCCGCGCAGAGCAGCAGUCAGGGUUCACGUUUCCUACAAGGUCCUCACUCUUCCUCCACGGAUACAGCGGCAAAGCAGCACGCACUCCCCUCAGUGACGUGUGAGCACAGCAUGUCAGCGUGCGCCUGCACACUCAAGUGUCCUCGUGUGCGCAGUAGCGUGUCAUCAUACCCAUGCGCAGUCCUGUGUGUGCGCCUGUAUAGUCACGUGUCGGGCUGUGUCAGCGAGGGCAGUGGCGGUGUGCGCCUGCGCAAUCCCUUGUCGACGUGCACCUGCGCAGUCCAGAGUCGGUGUGCGUGUGCGCGAGGCCGCCUCAGGAUGCACGUGGAGGCCUUGACGGAUGCAGGAACGCAGGGUUCGUGAGUGCACCCCAGGAUCAGGCCAGCUGGAGCGAGAGAAAGAGGUGAGUACAGGGGCACAACACACACGCCAUAGAGAAAACCCUCCAUGGGGGCCUCAGCGAUCCAGGUCAUCCAGGGGAGGGGAGCACGCAACCUAGAGGCCACGGGAGACCAGGAAGUCCCGUGGUCAGACCCUGCCACGGCAGCCACAGGCGACUCAAACUCAGGGAAUUCUUUAAGCUGAUGAUCAGGACGGGCCCGGAAUGGUGCUGCCAACAUCCAAACGGCCCUUGGGAGAAACAACGUCCCCAGCCCCAUCCUCCUCCCCAUGCCUCAUCUGCCAGCCAGAG
rnacentral:lncRNA from 1 species